rnacentral:rRNA from 1 species
UAGGGAAUCUUCCGCAAUGGACGCAAGUCUGACGGAGCAACGCCGCGUGAGUGAAGAAGGUUUUCGGAUCGUAAAACUCUGUUGUUAGAGAAGAACAAGUGCUAGAGUAACUGUUAGCGCCUUGACGGUAUCUAACCAGAAAGCCACGGCUAACUACGUGCCAGCAGCCGCGGUAAUACGUAGGUGGCAAGCGUUGUCCGGAUUUAUUGGGCGUAAAGCGAGCGCAGGCGGUUCCUUAAGUCUGAUGUGAAAGCCCCCGGCUCAACCGGGGAGGGUCAUUGGAAACUGGGGAACUUGAGUGCAGAAGAGGAGAGUGGAAUUCCAUGUGUAGCGGUGAAAUGCGUAGAUAUAUGGAGGAACACCAGUGACGAAGGCGACUCUCUGGUCUGUAACUGACGCUGAGGCUCGAAAGCGUGGGUAGCAAACAGGAUUAGAUACCCUGGUAGUCCACGCCGUAAACGAUGAGUGCUAAGUGUUGGAGGGUUUCCGCCCUUCAGUGCUGCAGUUAACGCAUUAAGCACUCCGCCUGGAGAGUACGACCGCAAGGUUG